rnacentral:lncRNA from 1 species
GUCCUGGCCUGGAGAAUUCAGGGUCACAGAGUCGGAUGCGACUGAGUGACUUUCACUUUCUUUCUUUUUUCAGCCCAUCAAGCUGGGUGCAAGGUUCUUGGGCCACAGUGAAACGUAGUGAUGGCUUUCAGUGGCACAGAAGGAGCAGGGAGUGUGACUGUCAGCCCCAAAGGCACUGUGGCACGGUAGAAGGAUGCGGGGGUCGCCUCUGGAGCCCAGACACAGGGUCGCCUGAUGGCGGUGGGUGCAGUGCAGCGCAGGAUCCAGGAAUGGCCCCUAGGACGCACCCUAUGUCCCUCUAGCCCUGGUGAUGGACCCACAGUGGACAGAUCAGUGUUGCGCACGGGACUACGGCUGCUACUGCUGGUCUUGGUAUGCUGCUGCGGCCAUCCAGCACCCCUCUGGGGAGAAGUUGUCUGGGGAUGAGUCCAGUGCAGAAGAGAGCAGUGAGAGAGAGCCGGAGGCGAUGCCGCUGAAUCCCUGGACCCACCGUGCUUGAAGGUGCCCAGUUCCUCAAUUACGGGAGCCAGGAAAUCAACUGCAAUUUUAAAUUAAAAAACGAGUAAAUAAUUAUUUAAAAGUU